UGUUUUAUGGCUUAGUUGGUUAAAGCACCAGUUUAGUGAACAUGGAGUCAUGGGUUCGAAUCCCACCAGAACGC
rnacentral:tRNA from 1 species